GAUAACCUACCUAUAAGACUGGGAUAACUUCGGGAAACCGGAGCUAAUACCGGAUAAUAUUUUGAACCGCAUGGUUCAAAAGUGAAAGACGGUCUUGCUGUCACUUAUAGAUGGAUCCGCGCUGCAUUAGCUAGUUGGUAAGGUAACGGCUUACCAAGGCAACGAUGCAUAGCCGACCUGAGAGGGUGAUCGGCCACACUGGAACUGAGACACGGUCCAGACUCCUACGGGAGGCAGCAGUAGGGAAUCUUCCGCAAUGGGCGAAAGCCUGACGGAGCAACGCCGCGUGAGUGAUGAAGGUCUUCGGAUCGUAAAACUCUGUUAUUAGGGAAGAACAUAUGUGUAAGUAACUGUGCACAUCUUGACGGUACCUAAUCAGAAAGCCACGGCUAACUACGUGCCAGCAGCCGCGGUAAUACGUAGGUGGCAAGCGUUAUCCGGAAUUAUUGGGCGUAAAGCGCGCGUAGGCGGCCCUUUAAGUCUGAUGUGAAAGCCCACGGCUCAACCGUGGAGGGUCAUUGGAAACUGGAAAACUUGAGUGCAGAAGAGGAAAGUGGAAUUCCAUGUGUAGCGGUGAAAUGCGCAGAGAUAUGGAGGAACACCAGUGGCGAAGGCGACCCCCUGGUCUGUAACUGACGCUGAUGUGCGAAAGCGUGGGGAUCAAACAGGAUUAGAUACCCUGGUAGUCCACGCCGUAAACGAUGAGUGCUAAGUGUUAGGGGGUUUCCGCCCCUUAGUGCUGCAGCUAACGCAUUAAGCACUCCGCCUGGGGAGUACGACCGCAAGGUUGAAACUCAAAGGAAUUGACGGGGACCCGCACAAGCGGUGGAGCAUGUGGUUUAAUUCGAAGCAACGCGAAGAACCUUACCCCCUCUUGACAUCCUUUGACAACUCUAGAGAUAGAGCCUUCCCCUUCGGGGGACAAAGUGACAGGUGGUGCAUGGUUGUCGUCAGCUCGUGUCGUGAGAUGUUGGGUUAAGUCCCGCAACGAGCGCAACCCUUAAGCUUAGUUGCCAUCAUUCCCUUGGGCACUCUAAGUUGACUGCCGGUGACAAACCGGAGGAAGGUGGGGAUGACGUCAAAUCAUCAUGCCCCUUAUGAUUUGGGCUACACACGUGCUACAAUGGACAAUACAAAGGGCAGCGAAACCGCGAGGUCAAGCAAAUCCCAUAAAGUUGUUCUCAGUUCGGAUUGUAGUCUGCAACUCGACUACAUGAAGCUGGAAUCGCUAGUAAUCGUAGAUCAGCAUGCUACGGUGAAUACGUUCCCGGGUCUUGUACACACCGCCCGUCACACCACGAGAGUUUGUA
rnacentral:rRNA from 1 species